rnacentral:rRNA from 1 species
GGACCUGACUGCUAUCGGAUUGAUACUAAGCCAUGCGAGUCAUUGUAGCAAUACAAGGCAUACGGCUCAGUAACGCGUAGUCAACCUAACCUAUGGACGGGAAUAACCUCGGGAAACUGAGAAUAAUGCCCGAUAGAACAUUAUGCCUGGAAUGGUUUAUGUUCUAAAUGAUUUAUCGCCGUAGGAUGGGACUGCGGCCUAUCAGUUUGUUGGUGAGGUAAUGGCCCACCAAGACUAUUACAGGUACGGGCUCUGAGAGGAGUAGCCCGGAGAUGGGUACUGAGACACGGACCCAGGCCCUAUGGGGCGCAGCAGGCGAGAAAACUUUGCAAUGUGCGAAAGCACGACAAGGUUAAUCCGAGUGGUUUCUGCUAAAGAAACCUUUUGUCAGUCCUAGAAACACUGAUGAAUAAGGGGUGGGCAAGUUCUGGUGU